AUGCCCGAUAAAUUCUAGAAGGUAAACAACUAGCAUGGUAGGAUUUGUUGCAGUAAUAACAUGAUGCCCAGUAUACCUCUUCCUCAAUAGGUGAAACAAAUUGGUGGACCAUGCAGACUUGACAAAUAAGCAUCCCUUGCCCCUCUGGAAUUUCACUGUCCUGAUGAAGAGUUGAAAAUGGCUCAACAUCAACAUCCAGCUCACCAUGACAUGGCUGAACAUGAUCCUUGCCAAGAGCUGAAGAUGGUACAGCAUCAAUGAUUAUAUCUGAAGGAGAGCAGUGAUGACAAAGCCAGUUUGAAGAAACAAUUAAGCUUAAAUCAACAUCAGUUUGUUCUUGGUAAUUUAGACAGUCCCAGUGGAACCAUCGGUCACAACCAUCGCAACCAACCCAAAGGAUUCCUCCUUCUUCCUCAUUGCAAUGACCUCUGAUAUUGCAUACUUGACAGAGGAUCCAAUGAUUGGGACAAAAAUGUCUGCCAAUUCUUGUGGGAUCAGGCCUCCAGUUACUAAGGGAUGUCCUCGUACAAACUGACCACAUGUAUGGCAAAGAGGAUCAUGAUUACAGGGAUUGUCUCCCCCUGGUCAUGGAAUGGGCAAGGUGUAAUCCGCUUCUGAGGCUGUGAGUCGUGUUUUGUCAAUGGCAUUUGCAUCCAAGGGGACGAUCCCACAUUUCCUGAAUGCAGUUUUGAUAUUAUGUGGGCUGAAUACCCUAUCAACUGCUGAAAGCAGGACCUGUGAAAACCUGGAAAUUGGGCAUUUCACACAGAUUUUUGAAGGUUACCUCCCCUUUCCAAUCAUCAAAUGAGGAUUUGCAUAUCCCAAACUGACUGACAAAUCAGAAAGCUGUUUUUUGAGUGGCCGGAAUAAGGCCACAUCCAGGGGCUGCAAUAUGUGUGUUGUGUGUGGAGGCAGGCACAACAACUCGACCCUAUUUUCUUUGGCCUUCUCAAUGAUGUUGAGUGAAAGAUGACUCUCGUGGUUAUCCAUGAUCAGUAGUAAGGGUCUCUGCUUGGAUGCGUGUUUCAGGAAUACCUUGUCAAACAACUUCUCAAACAAAUCAGCAUCCAUAUACCCAUUUGUGGAAGUUCCGAAAAGCCAUUCUUGAGGUAUUCCUGUGAAUAAACAAAAAUGCAAUAUAUGGAAAAGGAGGAGAGAAGUCUUACCAAGUUUAUGUACAGUCUCCUUCAAUAAUGUGAAGUACUGUGCCAUAACAUUGGGGUUGGCCAUCCUUGCCCGUCCACCAUCAAUGGUCUGAGGCUUCCUCAUGUGCAGGCUUGGAUUUCUGCGGAAAAAAAUCCUCAUCCAUUUAUUUGAUGGACCAGUUGGCCCAAUUACACUUUUCCUUCCUGACUUUUUUUAUUAUUUGAGAUAUGAACAUUUUAAUCAUUUUUCGAGAAAGUGGUAAGGACCUCUCUUCGCAAUACUAAAUGUAUAUGACAAGAUGCUUCUCUUCCUCAGGGGUUAGAACAACGUGAGGUUGUCCCCCUUU